GUGGAUUAGAUACCCUGGUAGUCCACGCCCUAAACGAUGGGUACUAAGUGUCGGCGGGUUACCGCCGGUGCCGCACCUAACGGAGUAAGUACCCCGCCUGGGGAGUACGGCCGCAAGGUUGAAACUCAAAGGAAUUGACGGGGGCCCGCACAAGCGGUGGUGCAUGUGGUUCAAUUCGACGCAACGCGAAGAACCUUACCCAGGCUUGACAUGCUCGUGGUAAGAACCGGAAACGGGGAUGACCUCGCAAGGGGAGCGAGCACAGGUGCUGCAUGGCCGUCGCCAGCU
rnacentral:rRNA from 1 species